rnacentral:rRNA from 1 species
UACGUAGGGGGCAAGCGUUAUCCGGAUUUACUGGGUGUAAAGGGAGCGUAGACGGUGAGACAAGUCUGAAGUGAAAGCCCGGGGCUCAACCCCGGGACUGCUUUGGAAACUGCCUGACUGGAGUGCUGGAGAGGCAGGCGGAAUUCCUAGUGUAGCGGUGAAAUGCGUAGAUAUUAGGAGGAACACCAGUGGCGAAGGCGGCCUGCUGGGCUUUUACUGACGCUGAGGCUCGAAAGCGUGGGUAGCAAACAGG